GACGUAGGGCGCGAGCGUUGUCCGGAUUUAUUGGGCGUAAAGAGCUCGUAGGCGGCCUGUCGCGUCGACUGUGAAAACCCAGGGCUCAACCCUGGGCCUGCAGUCGAUACGGGCAGGCUAGAGUGCAGUAGGGGAGACUGGAAUUCCUGGUGUAGCGGUGAAAUUCGUAGAUAUCAGGUGGAACACCAGUGGCGAAGGCGGCUUUCUGGACGAUAACUGACGCUGAGACGCGAAAGCGUGGGGAGCAAACAGG
rnacentral:rRNA from 1 species